ACUUUCGAACAAACCGUUUCGGACCGAUGUUUAUCUUAUAUAUCGAAUAUUGAAUUAUAUAUGUGCCAUCAUGUAAAUAUAAAUAUAAAUUAUAGCGUGGAUGAAAUAACUUGCUAUCAUUAUAAGAAAAAAAAGAAAAAAUGACAACGAACCAUAUUCGUUUCGCAAGAGAAGCCUACGCUUCGAAUACGUAUUCGUUGCGAUUUGUGAUGGCAUUCGCACGCAAUUUAAUUUCAAGAUAACGAACAAAUACGAACAAGAAAAAGAGAGAGAGAGAGAGAGAGAGGAUACCAAAAAAUUUUCAACAAACAAUUCACCAUUUCUCUCCUCAGUAUAGCCAGUUGUGUAUCCAAUGUGGUAAGCUGUCUAGCAGGAGGUGAUGGCCUGGACGAUGAUUGGAUCGGGGUUUUACCGCCUCUUUGCGUUUUACUGGAAGAUCUAGUGGGUGGCGGAGGUGGUUCGCAACCCUCGCUUCGUCCACCACUCAAAUUGAACCCACUAAGACUCCUUGGUAACGGUGGUAGACCUUGCAGGGAAGACAUAGCGAUCCUUUCUUGUAUGCUGAAAAAGGCGAGAGUUUCGUUCAAUCAAUUGGAAUUGAGAAUGGAAUAAAAUCAAGGAUCGAUUGAAACUACUCUCUACUAAUUCGAAAUCUAUCGACGAUCUUCGCCAACUUGGAAGCGUUUUUUCGACUAUGUACAAGUUUGUUAUGCAUUCGGCUAUUCGUUUCGACAUCACCGUUUCGCACGAACGAAGCGACGAAGUAGGUUAGCAGGUAAAGGAAAUUAGAAACAGGACGAUACUCUGAUAUUGCGCGCAGAAUAAAAAAAACGGUAAAGAGCAUUCGACUCUGCCAUUCUAUUUUGCACGUUCUUUUAUUUUUCCUUUGCCACUCGUUUUAUCACGCAAUUAAAUCGUCAAAGCAAAAUGUGUAAUCGUGUAACACGAGGAACUCUUGAUGAAUCGAAUCACUGGAUUAUUGUAUACACCGGAUAUUAUAUACAAAUCAACUGUUGCAAUAGUUUUACAAGCAAUUAUCAAGUUUGUUUACAGUAAAAUAUAUCAACACGAUUAAUCAACACGUCAGUAUCGAUCGAUCAAACUUCUUUAAAAUUACGUUACAUCGAUGAUUAAUCGGUGAACUACCUUGGAACGUUAAAGUCCCCGAAUUUCUCGUUUUCACAACGAUCAAAUCCAUUGACUCGACUUCCGUCAAUAACGUCGCCAUCUUCUCCGGACAAUCUGAUCUGCGUGGACGAAUAGUGAACACCGGCUUCCAACCAAUCUUGUCGAUGAAUGUUGUCGUUGUCUUUGUCAUUCUCCGCAUCCUUGCCGCUGCUGUUGUGUUGCUUGACGUCGUGAUUGCGAUCGUCACAGUGAUCAGGAUGAUCGUUGGAUGCGGCUUUACGGUCCGAUUCGUCGAUAACAACCACUGUAGCACGGUCAACGUUCGAAACCGAAGAUUGGAUCGUAGUGGAAGUUUCCGCGCUUUUCCUCGCCGCGUCUCGAUAUUUCACGAGACACGAUCUCUGGGUUGGCGUUGGCCGCGCCGAGCCAUCGGCUUUGCUUUUCUCCGAGCAUUGCGUUCUCUCUGAAAAACUUAGGCCUCCCCUUUCCCCGUUUUUCUUCGAUUCCGAAACGUCGGGCGAAAUGUGACAACACUGUACCUCGUCCAGAGCCACGCGCGACUCGAUCCCAGUAAUUUUGGCAUCGUUGUCGCAAUCGGUCGAUUCCUUCGCGCGAGAAGUCGGCUCUGACUCGAUUCUCGCUUUCUCGCUCCCAGUCGUUCUGUCGAUAUUGCUUAUCGACUUCUCACUUACCGGCGAUCUCUCACCAGUGGUGAUUGCUCCAUUGAAGGAGCGUUCUUUAGAGGACACACGUUCGAGCAGAGCGGAAUGACACGGGCUCGAGCGAUCCUCUUUCUCUCGCGGCGAGGAAGAAACGGCGCCGUCGGUGUUGGGGCUCGAUUCAGCGGAAUUUGGCCGAUGUUCCUGGUCGGGUACGCGGUGCCGCCUUUCCCGCGAAUUUCCACGCCAGUCGUCCUCGUCCGCGCGCCUUUCACUCGCGGCUCGAGAAACGGGUUCGCGAUUCUUGUCGGCCGGCGAAUCGCAAUCGCCGCCGCUUUCGUUGUUGGCUUCUUUGGGAAGCGACGACUCUUUGAUCGAAGAUUCGUAAACAAGCGUGCGUCCAACAGGAGCGGGAUACACCUGUUGCCGAUUGUUCGCCCGAUCUCGAUCGGAUCUCCACGGUUUGGUGUUGGGCGGUGGUGGGGCCUGCCUGGUCGGGCAGGGCGGCCUUGGUGAUCUUUUAAGGGCUUCUGCGACCACCUGCCGACUGGGUCGUGGCGGCACUGGUGGUGGGUGAGGCCUUUGCGUCGCUGCCAAUUGCAUUUCGCUCGUGAUCUCUUCAAAUUCACUCUCUCUCUAUCUAUCUAUCUACUCAUCGUUCCGCGAACAUUUCGACUUUAUCCGAAUACUCAAGCCUGGAAAUUUAUUCGUGAUAACGAAUAAUCUCGAUUAUCUCCGGUUUCUCGAUUGAUACGAUAAACGAUAAGCGAUUCGUGAUUAAAAGUUGAAAAUAUAAUAUAACAGGUUAUAAUUAACCAAGACAAUUAAACCAGGAGUUGUUAUUCUCCUCGAUCGAUAACGUUAAGUUGCAAUUUGAAAUUAAACAAUCAAAUUGCUCAUCGAAUGAUCCGCGUCACGUUUUUGCGUUCCAUGGAUGUUGAUGUUCGCCACGCGAACAACAUUGACGCGAUACGCAAUGAAGGCAGAUGCGCCGAUGCACCAUAGAUGUUUAUUCGUAAUUCCUCUUUCGUUUCAAUUUUAUCCCCUUCGAAUUUUAUUCCAUUCCUUGUUUUCUUCCUCUUUUUUUUUUUUAUACCGAUGUAUACGAACGAUACGUUUUCUCGAAGAAAAAACACCAAUAAAUAAUUUAACAGUUAAUCAUCGACGCGAUGAUACGAGUGUUUUCAUGAUUCACAGUUUCACGGGAUAACACUGGUUCGACUUGUGGAACGCGCGACAUUUUCAAAGACGCCCGAUUAUUUAAACGCGAAACAAGCGCGAAACGUUGCCGCGAUGUGAAGCGAGUCGUGUUGAAGCGAGUUGAGGCGAAUUGUGGCGAGGUGAGACGAGGUGAAGUGAGAGGAGGCGAGGCGAGGCGAGGCGAGGCGGUGAGGCGAGGCGAGGUGAGGUAAGACGAGGCGAAGCGAGGUAGGGUAAGCUUAGGUGAGAUGAGGUGAGGCGAGGUGAGGUAUAGUGCGGUGAGGUGAGUUGAGGUGAAGUGGGGUGAGGUAUAGUGAGGUUAGGUGAGGCUUCGUGAGGUGAGACGAGGUGAGGCGAAGAGAAGGUGACACGUUAGACCGGCGAGGACUCGGUUGAAGAAACUCGGUCCGUGGUAUCCUCGAUCCGUUAUCGUCUCCUAUGUUAUGUCCCCUGAACCCUUCUUUCCCCUCUAUGGUCCGUCCAAUGGUCCACCAGCAAUAGCACGUUCUAUAAUCCGUUUCCCUCUCUGUUGUCCGUUGAACGGACUACAGCUAACUGACUUCGCGAUCCCGACAAACAUCCUUCGUGUUCGAAGAACCACGUGACUGGGCUCGAGAGCUCGAGCUCUAGCCCGAGUUCUCGAGUAGGCAGUGGACGUGCUACGCCGAACCUUUGUGCCUAUCUCUCCCGAUCGCAUGUACGUGUGUUCGAUGGUACGCGCCAGUGUAUUGGUAUGUUGGCAAAAGGACAUGCUGGAGAGACUGACAGAUUUGAACCUAACAACGCGAUUUUCAUAAAUUUACACGAGAAAGAAAAAAUGAUAGAGUUACACUAUGUAAAGAAUGUAACGAAAUCGACUAUGUUUAGAUCUCUUAACUUUUUUUCUUUGAAAACUUUUUAGCCAUCUAACUGUUCAAAAGUACUCGGAAUAGUAGAUAGAUCUAAAGUAGUACUUCGAAUCUGUCGCUAUUUGUGAACAAGCGAAUGGACCUCGUCGUUCGUAUAUGCUGUUUGUAUAUGAUAGAAAGAGAAGGGAAUUAUGAGUAGGGGAAUCAGGCAGUGGGAUUCGAGGGGUUAGAGAGGUAAAAGAGGGAGUGUAAAAAGCAGGACGAGAGUGAUCGACGCGUGUGUAUACGUGUACAAUUACGCGUGCUAUGCAAGAGACACGGAGGAAAAGACGUGAGCGCAAACGAUACGAGGAAAAAGGAUGAGUAAGCCAAAACGAUAUAUAGUUAGAGCGCGGAAUGGGUCGAAGGAAACGCGGAGGAAACAAGUAAUUGCGAGAGAUAAAUACACCUUUACAGAGUAUCGAAAAAAAGAAGCAAGUAGAGAAAGAAAGUAGUGCAACGAAGUGAAUCGAUGAAUGGGAUUUGCGUAUACGCAACGCACAAUGCACAUUACCUGAUUAUUCGUUGCGUGCUGACACCUGCGGGACUAUCGGCAAACCAGCUACUCCUUGAACUUCCAUUCUUGACGACACAUCGGACAGAGAUGACUGGUUUGUUGGGAAUGCAACCACUUCAUGAUGCAGUGUAUGUGGAAGCAAUGUGAGCAUUGGCCCCAGACUGGAACAAUAUCGGACAAUCAUCUCCUGGAAUUUUACAAUCAGGACAACUGGCAUCAAAAGGCAUUCUACAUAUACCACAAUUGUCAUCAUUCGCUAUCCAACGCCAGGUGGCAACACCAGUCCAACCUUAAAAAAUAUUUACAAAUAUUUAACUUUUAUAUAUUAUGAUUCGUAAUUUAAACACAUAUGAUUAAAUAUAAAUAAUGAAAUAAAAUAAAAAAGAAAUAGAAAAAUCUAAA